rnacentral:rRNA from 1 species
UGGGGAAUAUUGCACAAUGGGCGAAAGCCUGAUGCAGCAACGCCGCGUGAGGGACGACGGCCUUCGGGUUGUAAACCUCUUUUAGCAAGGAAGAAGCGAAAGUGACGGUACUUGCAGAAAAAGCGCCGGCUAACUACGUGCCAGCAGCCGCGGUAAUACGUAGGGCGCAAGCGUUAUCCGGAAUUAUUGGGCGUAAAGAGCUCGUAGGCGGUUUGUCGCGUCUGCUGUGAAAACCCGAGGCUCAACCUCGGGCCUGCAGUGGGUACGGGCAGACUAGAGUGCGGUAGGGGAGAUUGGAACUCCNUGGUGUAGCGGUGGAAUGCGCAGAUAUCAGGAAGAACACCGAUGGCGAAGGCAGAUCUCUGGGCCGUAACUGACGCUGAGGAGCGAAAGGGUGGGGAGCAAACAGGCUUAGAUACCCUGGUAGUCCACCCCGUAAACGUUGGGAACUAGUUGUGGGGGUCCAUUCCACGGAUUCCGUGACGCAGCUAACGCAUUAAGUUCCCCGCCUGGGGAGUACGGCCGCAAGGCUAAAACUC